UCCUACGGGAGGCAGCAGUGGGGAAUAUUGCACAAUGGGGGAAACCCUGAUGCAGCAACGCCGCGUGAGUGAAGAAGUCAUUCGUGAUGUAAAGCUCUAUCAGCAGGGAAGAAAAUGACGGUACCUGAGUAAGAAGCCCCGGCUAACUACGUGCCAGCAGCCGCGGUAAUACGUAGGGGGCAAGCGUUAUCCGGAUUUACUGGGUGUAAAGGGAGCGUAGACGGCCAGACAAGUCUGAAGUGAAAAUCC
rnacentral:rRNA from 1 species